rnacentral:rRNA from 1 species
AUUGAACGCUGGCGGCAGGCCUAACACAUGCAAGUCGAGCGGAUGAAGGGAGCUUGCUCCUGGAUUCAGCGGCGGACGGGUGAGUAAUGCCUAGGAAUCUGCCUGGUAGUGGGGGAUAACGUCCGGACACGGGCGCUAAUACCGCAUACGUCCUGAGGGAGAAAGUGGGGGAUCUUCGGACCUCACGCUAUCAGAUGAGCCUAGGUCGGAUUAGCUAGUUGGUGGGGUAAAGGCCUACCAAGGCGACGAUCCGUAACUGGUCUGAGAGGAUGAUCAGUCACACUGGAACUGAGACACGGUCCAGACUCCUACGGGAGGCGGCAGUGGGGAAUAUUGGACAAUGGGCGAAAGCCUGAUCCAGCCAUGCCGCGUGAGUGAAGAAGGUCUUCGGAUUGUAAAGCACUUUAAGUUGGGAGGAAGGACAGUAAGUUAAUACCUUGCUGUUUUGACGGUACCAACAGAAUAAGCACCGGCUAACUUCGUG